ACCCAAACAAUACCACGGCCGGACCAUCGGCAGGAGGACCCGUCCGCUGAAGUGGAGGAUGAUGCGGACGACUACCAAGGAGUACCACGGCCGGACCAUCGGCAGGAGAAAGCUGCUGUGCCAACAG